rnacentral:rRNA from 1 species
UACACACCGCCCGUCAAGUCAUGGGAGCUGGGAGCACCCGAAGUCCGCUUAGCUAACCGCAAGGGGGCGGCGGCCGACGGUGAGCUCGGUGACUGGGACU